UAAAUAUGGAUUAUUUAUUUAACUUUCUCGAAUUCGGAAGAGCUAGUUGUUCAUAUAUUUUAUUGUAAAAAAAAUAUUUAUAAUGUGCAAUUAGUAAUGAAACGUUAAUCGUUUCUGAAUAUAUCUAGUUUUUUAAGAAAUAAAUUCAAUUUACUUAGUUAGAAAAAAUUUUUUUAUUUUAUAAUUUAUUUUUUUGAUUAGGGAAUGACUGAGGGGAUGAGCUUUUAGUUAAAAUUUUAUAAGUUAUUAAUUUUGUGAGGAUUAGUAGGAUUAGAAGUUUUUAUCUUUAGAAUAAUGUUACAAUUAAUUUUUUUUUUCAUAUUAUUUAUAUAUAAUUUUAAAUUUUUUAUUAAAGUUUAUUUUUUAAUUUUUAAAAGUUAGUAAAAAUGAUAGGAUUAGUAUAAUAUUAAUUUAUAUAUAUAGAAAAAUUUAAAGGUUAAGUAAAGGAAUUCGGCAAAAGAUUUCUCACCUGUUUAUUAAAAACAUGGCCUUUUGAUAAUUAUUUAAGGUCUAGCCUGCCCACUGAGUAUUUAAAUGGCCGCGGUACCCU
rnacentral:rRNA from 1 species